GAUGAACGCUGGCGGCGUGCCUAAUACAUGCAAGUCGAGCGAAUGGAUUGAGAGCUUGCUCUUAUGAAGUUAGCGGCGGACGGGUGAGUAACACGUGGGUAACCUGCCCAUAAGACUGGGAUAACUCCGGGAAACCGGGGCUAAUACCGGAUAACAUUUGGAACCGCAUGGUUCGAAAUUGAAAGGCGGCUUCGGCUGUCACUUAUGGAUGUACCCGCGUGGCAUUAGCGAGUUGGUGGGGUAACGGCUCACCAAGGCAACGAUUGGUAGCCGACCUGGGAGGGUGAUCGGCCCCACUGGGACUGAGACACGGCCCAGACUCCUACGGGAGGCAGCAGUAGGGAAUCCUCCGCAAUGGACGAAAGUCUGACGGAGCAACGCCGCGUGAGUGAUGAAGGCUUUCGGGUCGUAAAACUCUGUUGUUAGGGAAGAACAAGUGCUAGUUGAAUAAGCUGGCACCUUGACGGUACCUAACCAGAAAGCCACGGCUAACUACGUGCCAGCCGCCGCCGUAA
rnacentral:rRNA from 1 species